UACAGAGGGUGCAAGCGUUAAUCGGAAUUACUGGGCGUAAAGCGUGCGUAGACGGUAGCGUAAGUCGGGUGUGAAAGCCCCGGGCUCAACCUGGGAAUUGCAUUCGAGACUGCUCUGCUAGGGUGCGGAAGAGGGGAGCGGAAUUUCCGGUGUAGCGGUGAAAUGCGUAGAUAUCUGGAGGAACACCGGUGGCGAAGGCGGCGACCUGGUCCUAUACUGACACUCAUACACGAAAGCGUGGGGAUCAAACAGG
rnacentral:rRNA from 1 species